rnacentral:tRNA from 2 species
ACCCCUGUGACGCAAUUGGCAGACGUGUCCGGCUUAAACCCGGAUUGUUGCGAGUUCGACUCUCGCCGGGGGUA